ACAUACCUGCGAUGCUCGUAUGCUCGCUGUUGUCUCAAACCGAUGUGAUAAAUAAGGGAGUCCAAUAUUCAAUUGCCGAUAACAUGCCCUUGGAUUUAGGGACGUUAAAAGCGGUUGUGCGAACGCCCACCUGCGAGUGCGGGUUUUGAGACACUUUGAGUUACGACAGAGCGGGGUGUU
rnacentral:other from 1 species